UACGAAGGGGGCUAGCGUUGCUCGGAAUCACUGGGCGUAAAGCGCACGUAGGCGGAUCUUUAAGUCAGGGGUGAAAUCCUGGAGCUCAACUCCAGAACUGCCUUUGAUACUGGGGAUCUCGAGUCCGGAAGAGGUAAGUGGAACUCCGAGUGUAGAGGUGAAAUUCGUAGAUAUUCGGAAGAACACCAGUGGCGAAGGCGGCUCACUGGACCGGUAUUGACGCUGAGGUGCGAAAGCGUGGGGAGCAAACAGG
rnacentral:rRNA from 1 species